AUAAAUUAUGUUGUUGUAAAAGGUAAAGCCUAAUUCGUUAGAUUUGCACAGCAGGUGGCCAGCUUCUUCAAGUUCAUUAUAUCUCAAGAGCCCUGCAUAAGCUUUUAAAGUCUCAAGGAGAGGUUGGCAUGGUUAAGUUGCUCACCAAAUUAAUCUUUCAUUGGAAAUAUCUGGUCUUGUCAAC